UACGUAGGGUGCGAGCGUUGUCCGGAUUUAUUGGGCGUAAAGAGCUCGUAGGCGGUUUGUCGCGUCGUUCGUGAAAUCUCCACGCUUAACGUGGAGCGUGCGGUCGAUACGGGCAGACUUGAGUUCGGUAGGGGAGACUGGAAUUCCUGGUGUAGCGGUGAAAUGCGCAGAUAUCAGGAGGAACACCGGUGGCGAAGGCGGGUCUCUGGGCCGAUACUGACGAUGAGGAGCGAAAGCGUGGGGAGCGAACAGG
rnacentral:rRNA from 1 species